rnacentral:rRNA from 1 species
GACGAACGCUGGCGGCGUGCUUAACACAUGCGAGUCGUACGGUAAGGCCCUUUCGGGGGUCCACGAGUGGCGCACGGGUGAGUAACACGUGAGUAACCUGCCCACAACUUUGGGAUAACGCUAGGAAACUGGUGCUAAUACUGGAUAUGUGCUCCUGCUGCAUGGUGGGGGUUGGAAAGCUCCGGCGGUUGUGGAUGGACUCGCGGCCUAUCAGCUUGUUGGUGGGGUAGUGGCCUACCAAGGCGGCGACGGGUAGCCGGCCUGAGAGGGUGACCGGCCACAUUGGGACUGAGAUACGGCCCAGACUCCUACGGGAGGCAGCAGUGGGGAAUAUUGCACAAUGGGCGCAAGCCUGAUGCAGCAACGCCGCGUGCGGGAUGACGGCCUUCGGGUUGUAAACCGCUUUCAGCAGGGACGAAGCUUUUUGUGACGGUACCUGCAGAAGAAGCACCGGCUAACUACGUG